rnacentral:rRNA from 1 species
CCUACGGGAGGCAGCAGUGAGGAAUAUUGGUCAAUGGACGCAAGUCUGAACCAACCAUGCCGCGUGCAUGAAGACGGCUCUAUGAGUUGUAAACUGCGUUUGUACGAGGGUAAACGCAGGUACGCGUAUCUGUCUGAAAGUAUCGUACGAAUAAGGAUCGGCUAACUCCGUGCCAGCAGCCGCGGUACUACGGAGGAUUCAAGCGUUAUCCGGAUUGAUUGGGUUUAAAGGGUGCCUAGGCGGUCGGAUAAGUUAGAGGUGAAAUCCCGAGGCUCAACUUCGGAAUUGCCUCGGAUACUGUGAGGCUAGAGAGUAGUUGCGGUAGGCGGAAUGUAUGGUGUAGCGGUGAAAUGCUUAGAGAUCAUACAGAACACCGAUUGCGAAGGCAGCUUACCAAGCUACUUCUGACGUUGAGGCACGAAAGCGUGGGGAGCAAACAGGAUUAGAUACCCUGGUAGUC